rnacentral:rRNA from 1 species
CCUACGGGAGGCAGCAGUGGGGAAUAUUGCGCAAUGGGCGAAAGCCUGACGCAGCGACGCCGCGUGAGGGAUGAAGGUCUUCGGAUCGUAAACCUCUGUCAGCAGGGAAGAACGGUCACUGUGCUAAUCAGCAGUGAAUUGACGUUACCUGCAAAGGAAGCACCGGCUAACUCCGUGCCAGCAGCCGCGGAAAUCCGGAGGGUGCGAGCGUUAAUCGGAAUUACGGGGCGUAAAGCGGUCGUCGGCGGUAUGUCAAGGCAAGGGUGAAAUCCCCGCGCUCAACGUGGGAACUGCCUUUGAAACUGGCAGACUGGAGUGUGUGAGCGGAGAGUGGAAUUCCAGGUGUAGGGGUGAAAUCCGUAGAUAUCUGGAGGAACAUCAGUGGCGAAGGCGACUAUCUGGCACAUAACUGACGCUGAGGAGCGAAAGCGUGGGUAGCAAACAGGAUUAGAUACCCGAGUAGUC